rnacentral:rRNA from 1 species
AAGUCGUAACAAGGUUUCCGUAGGUGAACCUGCGGAAGGAUCAUUACCGAGUUCAGGGUUGUCUCUUUAACCAAGAGUACGCCCGACCUCCAACCCUUUGUCUACCUGACCUUUUUGUUGCUUCGGCAGGCCCGUCCUUCGGGACCGUCGGGGGUGUCACCCACCCCGGGCCCGUGCCUGUCGAUGGCCAUCAUUAAAACUCUUGUUAAGAAACGUGUCGUCUAAGUAUACAAACAAAAAUUAAAACCAAAACUUUCAACAACGGAUCUCUUGGUUCUGGCAUCGAUGAAGAACGCAGCGAAAUGCGAUAAGUAAUGCGAAUUGCAGAAUCCGUGAGUCAUCGAAUCUUUGAACGCACAUUGCGCCCUUUGGUAUUCCGAAGGGCAUGCCUGUUCGAGCGUCAUUAUCACCCCUCAAGCCCGGCUUGUUGUUGGAUGCAGCAUUCACUCUUGGUGAUUGCUCCUCCCAAAGAUAAUGACGGCGUCUGUGAGGACUCCUGUACACUGAGCUUUCGGGCACGUACUGGGCUAGAAAUCCACACGCCGGUCACCGUCUCUUAACGAGACAAAACUUUUAUACCAAGGUUGACCUCGGAUCAGGUAGGAAUACCCGCUGAACUUAA